rnacentral:rRNA from 1 species
GACGAACGCUGGCGGCGUGCUUAACACAUGCAAGUCGAACGGAAAGGCCCUGCUUUUGUGGGGUGCUCGAGUGGCGAACGGGUGAGUAACACGUGAGUAACCUGCCCUUGACUUUGGGAUAACUUCAGGAAACUGGGGCUAAUACCGGAUAGGAGCUCCUGCUGCAUGGUGGGGGUUGGAAAGUUUCGGCGGUUGGGGAUGGACUCGCGGCUUAUCAGCUUGUUGGUGGGGUAGUGGCUUACCAAGGCUUUGACGGGUAGCCGGCCUGAGAGGGUGACCGGCCACAUUGGGACUGAGAUACGGCCCAGACUCCUACGGGAGGCAGCAGUGGGGAAUCUUGCACAAUGGGCGGAAGCCUGAUGCAGCAACGCCGCGUGCGGGAUGACGGCCUUCGGGUUGUAACCCGCUUUCGCCUGUGACGACGCGUGAGUGACGGUAAUGGGUAAAGAAGCACCGGCUAACUACGUG